CUUCACUGCAUCUUGGGAUUGAAAUUGGACUUUACUUGCGCAGUAUAGGUGGGAGGCGUUGAAAAUUUUCUUGCGGGAAGAUUGGAGCCAUCAGUGAGAUACCACUCUUGUAAUGUUAGAUUUCUAACUUUGGAUCAUGAUCUGGUCAAAGGACAGUUUCAGGCGGGCAGUUUGACUGGGGCGGUCGCCUCCCAAACGGUAACGGAGGUGUACAAAGGUUUCCUCUGAACGGGUAGAAAUCGUAUCUAGAGUGUAAAGGCAUAAGGAAGCUUGACUGUGAGACCUACAAGUCGAGCAGGGACGAAAGUCGGUCUUAGUGAUCUGACGGUGCUGAGUGGAAAGGCCGUCACUCAACGGAUAAAAGUUA
rnacentral:rRNA from 1 species